UACAAUGUUUAACUUCUUAUCUUAUUUAAAAUAUUUUUAUAAUUAAUAAUUUUAUUUUUAUUAGAUGAUAAAAUAUAAAUAGUACUUUAUGUAUGACUAAUUUUUUUAAAAAUUUUUAAAAUUUUUUCAAAUAAGACGGAUGGUCAAAUGCUCGACACAAAAACCGA
rnacentral:pre_miRNA from 1 species